UACGGGGGGGGCAAGCGUUGUUCGGAAUUACUGGGCGUAAAGGGCUCGUAGGCGGCCUGUUAAGUCGAACGUGAAAUCCCCGGGCUCAACCCGGGAACUGCGUCCGAUACUGGAAGGCUUGAAUCCGGGAGAGGGAUGCGGAAUUCCAGGUGUAGCGGUGAAAUGCGUAGAUAUCUGGAGGAACACCGGUGGCGAAGGCGGCAUCCUGGACCGGUAUUGACGCUGAGGCGCGAAAGCCAGGGGAGCAAACGGG
rnacentral:rRNA from 1 species